rnacentral:rRNA from 1 species
CCCUUAGAUGGUCUGGGCGGCACGCGCGCUACAAUGAUGCAUUCAAAAAGUCUUCUGACCUUAGAAGGUUGGGUAUUCUCCAAAGUGCAUCGUGAUGGGAAUAGUUUAUUGCAAUUUUUAAUCUUGAACGAGGAAUUCCUAGUAAGUACAGGUCAUCAACUUGUGUUGAUUACGUCCCUGCCCUUUGUACACACCGCCCGUCGCUCCUACUGAUUGAGUGUCUCGGUGAAUUCUUUGGUCUUCUGUCGAUUCAGUUCACUGAUCCGACGGUGGAAAGUUGAAUGAACUUCGUCACUUAGAGGAAGGAGAAGUCGUAACA